UUUUUUUUUUUUUGGGGGGGGGGGGGGAGAGUUGACGACUGAACGUUCAAUGACUAUAUCAAACCAAAUAUUUGUUCUUUUUUUCAGUUAUGGGCAUUAAAAAAUGCGGUAAAAAUAGAAAACUCGUCCUUUAGUAAUUGGAAAUCCAGUGAAAACUCAAUCCAGCGUGUGACCAGUUCAAAACAUUACAAGGCUACACAAACAGAAGAUACCAAGAUGUCGGACGCUUAUCAGUAAAUGAUGGAACUGGCUGCAUCUCGGAGUUCUUGGAGGGUUGUUACAGGUGAAAACUCCGUACCAGGCCGAGUGACACCGUGACAGUACACUUUCACGUCAUUGUAACAAGCCCACAGUUUAAAUAUUCAUAACCGUCCACAACACUGUCUGAUACUUAUUUUUGGAACUGGAGUUUCUUGUUCAGUAAAUUAAUUUGUAUACGGCUUGUGUUUCAUUGGUGUGUUAUUGGAUGUUUGUUAUUUCACUGGUAUGUUAUUGGAUGCUUGUGUUUCAUUGGUGUGUUAUUGGAUGUUUGUCUUUCAUUGGUGUGUUAUUGGAUGCUUGUGUUUCAUUGGUGUGUUGUUGGAUGUUUGUCUUUCAGUGGUAUGUUAUUGGAUGCUUCUGUUUCAUUGGUGUGUUAUUGGAUGCUUGUGUUUCAUCGGUGUGUUAUUGGAUGCUUGUGUUUCAUUGGUUUGUUAUUGGAUGUUUAUAGAACCCAGUGUUUUUAUGUGACCGUUUUUGGUGUGUGUGUUGUUAUUGUUUGUCUGUUUGUUUUGUUGUUGUUUGUUUGUUAUUUAUUGGGUUUUUUAAUGUUUUGUUGUUGUUGUCUUGUUGAUGUCUUGUUGUCGUCUUGUUGGUGUUGUGUUUUUUCGGGAGGGAUACAUGCAACAUGUUAGAAUUUAGUUAGGACUGGAAUUUUUUUAAUACUUCAAUAAAUACGUCCCACUGAAUCUUAUUUAUUUCUAGAUCAUAUUUUAUAAUAGUUUGUUGGUGAAUAAUGGACGACAUUUUAGGUGAUUGUGCAUUCAGAAAAAAAAAUAGGUAUCAGACAAAAAUAUUCUAUACUAAGAUGACCAAGUACCACUAGGGUGCAUACCACCAAAUCAAAUCCCACAGACGACAAUAGUAACAUAUGCGGCUAAAACUGCUAUACGCAGCUUAUCAGUCGACAUAUACACCAGUAAAUCAGGGAAAAAGGGUGUUAGGCUGCCUUUCCAUUGGUGCGGUUUUACCCGCGCGGCUAUUUCUGCCGCUAAGCGGUAAAAAUCAAAUGCGUUGAUUUGCAUUGACGUCUUUCCAUUGACACGGGUGCUAACCGUGCGGCAAAAAAAUGUCGAUCAUGUAUCGAUUUUUUGCCAGCCGUGCGGCUCGAACCACAUGGGGAAUCCAUACAAUGACGUCAUUUUGGGGUAUUACCCAUGAUUACCCAUGUCCCGCACUUGUGUGUUUUAUAGCGUUAUUUAAUUUUUCAGUUUUAAGAAUAGGCAUUUUUAGCAUUCUUUGUGCAAUGGGCGAGAAAUGUUCACACGUGAGCAAAUUGAAAUUUUAACUGACUUGGUGAUCGAAAACCCGGUAUUUAUUACCAAUCCUUAAGUGAAUAUAAGUACCAGAUCUGAACUAACUUAUGUUAACACCCUUUAUCCUCGUUCAAUAAUGAAAAACGCCGAUACUGUAAUAACAUGAAAUGAGUUCAAAUAACUGAUGUGCAUGCUCACCAACUUCUUACUAACAAUAAUAUUUACCGUGUCCACUUUAGUAACAAAGAAUAAAAAGACCUUUUAUUGCAAGAAUUGUGUUAUUUUAGGAGGUAAACUAUUGUGUUUUUAAAGUAUUUUUUACGAUACGGCGGGUUGUUCGGUCCCUUACCCAUCCCUGAUAACGGACCCGUGGCGUCAGUAAAACAUAAUCGGUUCAUUAUUUUAUGUUCCCAAAAUAUGUGUUUCAUUUUACAUGACAUUGUGUUAGCUCUUGUAUCUAAUAGUUCGGGUUUGUUUUUGUUUUUGCCACUAUUUUUAUGUCCAAUUUAGAAAACAAUCGGCUCAGAAAUAAAUAAUAUGUAUUGAAUUACAUAGUAUGGGGUGGGAGCGUUCCCUGUGGGAAGGACUUACGUAAUAGUUCAAAUCUCGAUUUGAUCAAAUGUUUUUUUUUCUGUAAAAUUUUCAUUAGUAAUGGAUCUUCCUCAUUUUACAAUGACAUAUUUCAAUUUGCAUAUGGCCGCUUAAAUAAUUAAUGACGUCACAUGGAAGAAACCGUCUCAUAAGAACGCCUCAAUGAAAAUAUGCUAGCCCCGCGCGUAGAACCGCUACGCGGCUAGCCGCGCGGGUAAAUCCGCGCCAAUGGAAAGACGGCCUUAAUCUGCUCGUUCCAGACAUUACGGGUUGCGGCUAUGACUACUCUAGUUCCAAACAAAUUUGUCAUGCUAUAUUUAGUAGGACCCGCACAAUCAUGAUUGAAGCACAUUGGCACCAGUUCAAAUUAAAUUACAGGAAUUUACUUGACAGAUGAAAUAACAUUUUAUCACAAGAAACAAUCUCACGUUAUUUACCAAUGGCACGACUGGUAGCCUCAACUGUGGGAUGAAAAGAUGAGAGUAUCUCGAACUUUGACCCACUCACAUGCUAUUUGGUGUAUGGCUAUCACUAGAGAGUAUAAUCCUAGCAACAGUGUGUGCUACCAUUCACUGAAUACACAAGCUGACUUGUUAAUAUUAUACACUGUUGGAAGAUGACCAACUAUCAUUAGAUUUUGUUACCAUUCACUGAAUACAAAAGCUAACUUGUUGACAGUCUACACUGUUGUAAGAUGACCAAGUACCACUAGACCACUGGACCAUUCACUGAAUACAAAAGUACACUUGUUAAUAUUCUACACUGUUGUAAAAUAACCAAGCAUCAUUAGCUGUUAUCCUUCAAUGAAUACACAAAGAGUAAGAGGGUUGUAGUGCCUUGAAUUGUAAUAAAUUACCUGAAUUGUAAUACCUGCCUUGAAUUGUAAUAAAAACUGUCCUGAAUUGUAA